GCCAGAGACCUCCAAACCAGCAGGACCCCUGCUCAGGGACCGUGAUGUGUAAGACGCGGGCGAGGGGCUGCCCCUGCCAGCCGAGGGCCUCUGCAGGUGGCCAGGAGCCCCAACAGCUGGGGCGAGACCUGGGACAGCUUCCCUCAUAGCCUUCGGAGCAGUCUUGCCCACACUCACCUGGUGAUUUCGGACUCCCAGCCUCCAUAACUGUGUGAUGAUGCAGCUCUGUUGUCUGAAGCCAUUAGUGCAAGGUACUGUGUCACUGUGGCCCUGGGUGCCCAACACAGCUCCUGCUGUUCUUGUAGUUCACCCGAUGGCUUAAUAUAGAAAACAAACCAUCCAAACACCCUGGAAAAACCAAGGGACAACACAGCGACCUCACAAGGACUGGGGAGAGCCAUGGGACCAUGGGUUCCCCGAGCUGUCACACCUGCCUGGCUGUGUCUCACAGGGCAGGGGAGGCAGAACGGCUCACGGGGGAGGGUGAACGUUCUGUGUCCCUGGUGUUGAGUAGGAGUGAGCACUAAGCUUCUGCAAGUGCCCUUUCGCCACUUGUGGGGCCAGCCAGAGGCAGAGCGAGGCAGGUCAGGACACAGACCAGGGCCUCCAAUGAGGUUCAGAGUGCAUCCUAUGGAAAAGCGUGCACGGGCCUCCAGGUUUUCUGUCGCCAGCAUCAGUGUCAUCCCGUAUGUCCUCCAAGGUGUCAACGUGCUCUCAUGUGUCCAAGAGUCACCUUUCCCUCCUUCGUCACAUUUCGCAUUUCCUGUUUCCAUCUAUGCUUGUGACACGCUGGCUUCCCUCCCCCACAGAAGGAGGCCGCCCACCUGCUGGCCUCUAGUCCUUUCAGCCCUGAGGCCGCUGCACGGUCUCAGCGCAGGCCUGCUCCCUCGGAGCCAUGCUUCCCGCCUCUGGUGCGCUGUCACCGCCUCAUUCUCACACACUGCACACACGUGUACCGCCUCACUCUCAUGCAAUGCACACGUGUACCGCCUCAUUCUCACACACUGAACACGUGUACCGCCUCAUUCUCAUGCACUGCACACGUGUACCGCCUCAUUCUCACACACUGCACACGUGUACCACCUCACUCUCAUGCAAUGCACACGUGUACUGCCUCAUUCUCAUCACUUCACGCACUGCACACGUGUACCACCUCAUUCUCACACACUGCACACGUGUACCGCCUCAUUCUCACACACUGCACACGUGUACCGCCUCAUUCUCAUGCACUGCACACGUGUACUGCCUCAUUCUCACACACUGCACACACGUACCACCUCAUUCUCACGCACUGCACACGUGUACCGCCUCAUUCUCACACACUGCACACGUGUACCGCCUCAUUCUCAUGCACUGCACACGUGUACUGCCUCAUUCUCACACACUGCACAUGUGUACCACCUCAUUCUCACACACUGCACACGUGUACCGCCUCAUUCUCACACACUGCACACGUGUACUGCCUCAUUUUCACACACUGCACAUGUGUACCGCCUCAUUCUCACUUCUGCACACGUGUACCACCUCAUUCUCACACACUGCACACACGUGUACCGCCUCAUUCUCACUGCACAUGUGUACCGCCUCAUUCUCAUGCACUGCACACGUGUAUUGCCUCAUUCUCACACACUGCACACGUGUUCCACCUCAUUCUCAUGCACUGCACACGUGUACCACCUCAUUCUCACACACUGCACAUGUGUACUGCCUCAUUCUCACACACUGCACACGUGUACCGCCUCAUUCUCACUGCACACGUGUACCGCCUCAUUCUCACUGCACACACGUGUACCGCCUCAUUCUCACGCACUGCACACAUACUCACUUUUGUGCAUUUGAUGGGAACAGGUGUCCCUGCUCACCCUUUACAGCUCUACCAGGGACUGAGGGUCUGGAACUUAGACCGACUCCUUCUCCCCACUCCCUAGCUAUCGAUUGAUUGAUUGAUUGAUUGAUUUUCUGUGACAAAGCCCUUCCCCCGAAGAACCUGUUGUUUUAAGCUGCCCCCUCGCUCUCCUAAAUUGGUGAACACCAGGAGCUGUGACCCACAGGCCAGGACAGAUUUAAAGGAAUAAAUAAUGGACCAGAAGUGCUGAUGGCGUCA
rnacentral:lncRNA from 1 species